rnacentral:rRNA from 1 species
GGGUAAACCUGAGAAACCCGAAAGGUCGAAAGGGGAAAUUCAUUCGCGUUUCGGUCGUCGGCUAUCGACGGGCUAGUGACGGUCGGCGUUCGCGUCGUCUGCGCAGUCUGUCGAUUGAACCGAUAUCGAACGCGUGCACUUUUCCCCUAGUAGGACGUUGCGAUCCGUUGGGUGUCGGUCUAAGGCUCGAGGUGGAGCCCACGCGAACGUUUCGGCGUCUUCGCGUGGACCCUCGAUGUCCCGGCCGACUCGCUCGACGGUAUAAUGAUGGCGCGGGGCCGCUACAUAGUUAGCGUUCGGCUCGUGGCAAGCGCGAACGGCGUUUGACGGCGAUCGGACCUAGCGCCGAUCCUGUCCCCGUUCGACUGUUGGCUGCGAUGUUCUCGAACAGACCUCGUCGAAACGCCGAUCUGCAACGCUAUAGCUUUGGGUACUUUCAGGACCC